UACUGUUCAUCUAAAAAAAAUCCAUCACUAAAAUAGUUUAGUAGUUUUCAAGUUUUAUGUGUGUUUAGAACUGAAUACAUUGGAUUGUAGUGUUUUUCUUUUUUACUCCCCAGCUAUUCCACUAUAAUGAAUUCCUGGGAUCUUGAGUGGGGAUAGAAGAGGGAGAAACACAUAUGAAUGUGGUGGAAUUGCAACCCUCAUUGAUCUCCUGAAAGGAAACAGUACAGAAUAACAGAGUAUGAAGAUGGUUCUACUAUACAACCGACUGGGAAUAGGAGACCUGCAUCCAAAAUAUCAGAUAAAUUCUUGCCUACAGGAUCAUGGAUGCCUGGCUGUGUCAUGGAAAGUAAAAAGGAAGAAAAAUGAGAAAAACAGUGUGACCUGCCGUGUAAGCCUCCUUGUUAUCUGUAUUCUCUUUCUGAGCUUCUAAAAUAGACACACCCAUUUUCUCAUUUUUUUAUGUUAUAAGGAGCAUGA
rnacentral:lncRNA from 12 species